UACAGAGGUCUCAAGCGUUGUUCGGAUUCAUUGGGCGUAAAGGGUGCGUAGGCGGCGUGGUAAGUCGGAUGUGAAAUCUCGGAGCUUAACUCCGAAACUGCAUUCGAUACUGCCGUGCUUGAGGACUGGAGAGGAGACUGGAAUUCUCGGUGUAGCAGUGAAAUGCGUAGAUAUCGUAAGGAAGACCAGUGGCGAAGGCGGGUCUCUGGACAGUUCCUGACGCUGAGGCACGAAGGUCAGGGGAGCAAACGGG
rnacentral:rRNA from 1 species